GGUCAUGCCUACCGCACCUUUAUCACCGUAGGCACUCGGUCAUGCCGUGGGCGCUAGUCGCCUUAGACAUUCAUUGUCAAAGGUGUGAUGUGAGGGGGGGUUAAAUGCCC
rnacentral:ncRNA from 1 species